rnacentral:rRNA from 1 species
AAUCAACGCUGGCGGCGUGCCUAACACAUGCAAGUCGAACGCGAAAGGGGCUUCGGCCCUGAGUAGAGUGGCGAACGGGUGAGUAACACGUGGGUGAUCUGCCUCUGAGUGGGGGAUAACGUUCCGAAAGGAGCGCUAAUACCGCAUGACGUUCCGGGUUUGAAGACCUGGAAACCAAAGCCGGGGACCGCAAGGCCUGGCGCUUGGAGAGGAGCCCGCGCCUGAUUAGCUAGNGGUGAGGUAAUGGCUCACCAAGGCGACGAUCAGUAGCCGGCCUGAGAGGGCGGACGGCCACACUGGGACUGAGACACGGCCCAGACUCCUACGGAGGCAGCAGUGGGAAUUGUUCGCAAUGGGCGCAAGCCUGACGACGCAACGCCGCGUGGAGGAUGAAGGUCUUUCGGAUUGUAAACUCCUGUUGAUCGGAAAGAACAGGUUUCGACCUAAUACGUCGGAGCACUGACGGUACCGGUUGAGGAAGCCACGGCUAACUCUGUGCCAGCC